rnacentral:tRNA from 1 species
GCCUCCAUAGCUCAGGGGCAGAGCGUCUGUCUCGUAAACAGCUGGUGUGCGGUUCAACUCCACAUUGAGGCA